rnacentral:miRNA from 14 species
AAAGCUGCCUGAGAAGGGAAUGGCCAAGGUUCCCUUUAGCCUCUCCUUUCUCUUCCUGGCUCUAG